UUGAUAAUUGGAUUAUUUUUUUGACUAUUACAUCUAUGUAAAAAUUUGAGUUGAAUUUCUUUCUUCACAAAUGACAUGUUUUUUGAAACAUGAUUAAAAAAACAGGGUAGGAAAUCAAUGAAAGCCAUUGUUUUGAUACACGCUUGAAUUUGAGGAAAUCUCAGGCAGAAUAUCUUGGUUACUGCCGAAUGUUUCGGCUGAAGAUGACAAAGAUUUCACUUCACAGGUGCUCAUAUCUCCCAUAAAUUUAAACAAGACUGGAAUUUUAUGACAAAUUACUCAGUCAAUGUUGGAGCAGAUUCUGCCUUUACCUGAUAUUUCAGAAGGAAAAAAAACCCUCCAUCAAAGUAUUGUAUAGUAAUCAGACCCCAAAUCGAUUAGAGAAACGAAAGAAAGGGGAAAAAACCACAUAAUAAAACGGAAAAGAAAAUCCCAUAUUUUUCCAGAGAGCAACUACCUUUUAUCAUCUGAGAUUUUUACCAGGAAACUCUGUAGGACGUCAGAAGUUGAGAGUUUUCAAUAGACAAGAAGAAAAACCAUUCUCUUCUCCUUCUGAAACCCAGAAAAUCCUCUUCAAGCUCUGAGGUUCUUAGAGUCUCCACCCUAUUCCUCUGAAGAUAGAAAUCACGAUGGUGCUGGUGUGUUGUGCUCAGGCUGUGUCUGCUAAUAUAGUAUUUCGAGAAUGUUGUUGCAAGUGCCAGUGCUACAAUUCCUGCUACAAUCGAAAGAGGGAGGCAAGAAAAUCUAGAUUUUGGAUUGAGAUAACUGGAAAAUAAGUGCCAGUACUAGAAUUCCUUGUCAUCCUAGAACUUGGCCACCCG
rnacentral:lncRNA from 1 species